rnacentral:rRNA from 1 species
GGGUUGUGAGGUUAAGCGACUAAGCGUACACGGUGGAUGCCCUGGCAGUCAGAGGCGAUGAAGGACGUGCUAAUCUGCGAUAAGCGUCGGUAAGGUGAUAUGAACCGUUAUAACCGGCGAUUUCCGAAUGGGGAAACCCAGUGUGUUUCGACACACUAUCAUUAACUGAAUCCAUAGGUUAAUGAGGCGAACCGGGGGAACUGAAACAUCUAAGUACCCCGAGGAAAAGAAAUCAACCGAGAUUCCCCCAGUAGCGGCGAGCGAACGGGGAGCAGCCCAGAGCCUGAAUCAGUGUGUGUGUUAGUGGAAGCGUCUGGAAAGGCGCGCGAUACAGGGUGACAGCCCCGUACACAAAAAUGCACAUAUUGUGAGCUCGAUGAGUAGGGCGGGACACGUGGUAUCCUGUCUGAAUAUGGGGGGACCAUCCUCCAAGGCUAAAUACUCCUGACUGACCGAUAGUGAACCAGUACCGUGAGGGAAAGGCGAAAAGAACCCCGGCGAGGGGAGUGAAAAAGAACCUGAAACCGUGUACGUACAAGCAGUGGGAGCACGCUUAGGCGUGUGACUGCGUACCUUUUGUAUAAUGGGUCAGCGACUUAUAUUCUGUAGCAAGGUUAACCGAAUAGGGGAGCCGAAGGGAAACCGAGUCUUAACUGGGCGUUAAGUUGCAGGGUAUAGACCCGAAACCCGGUGAUCUAGCCAUGGGCAGGUUGAAGGUUGGGUAACACUAACUGGAGGACCGAACCGACUAAUGUUGAAAAAUUAGCGGAUGACUUGUGGCUGGGGGUGAAAGGCCAAUCAAACCGGGAGAUAGCUGGUUCUCCCCGAAAGCUAUUUAGGUAGCGCCUCGUGAAUUCAUCUCCGGGGGUAGAGCACUGUUUCGGCAAGGGGGUCAUCCCGACUUACCAACCCGAUGCAAACUGCGAAUACCGGAGAAUGUUAUCACGGGAGACACACGGCGGGUGCUAACGUCCGUCGUGAAGAGGGAAACAACCCAGACCGCCAGCUAAGGUCCCAAAGUCAUGGUUAAGUGGGAAACGAUGUGGGAAGGCCCAGACAGCCAGGAUGUUGGCUUAGAAGCAGCCAUCAUUUAAAGAAAGCGUAAUAGCUCACUGGUCGAGUCGGCCUGCGCGGAAGAUGUAACGGGGCUAAACCAUGCACCGAAGCUGCGGCAGCGACACUAUGUGUUGUUGGGUAGGGGAGCGUUCUGUAAGCCUGUGAAGGUGUACUGUGAGGUAUGCUGGAGGUAUCAGAAGUGCGAAUGCUGACAUAAGUAACGAUAAAGCGGGUGAAAAGCCCGCUCGCCGGAAGACCAAGGGUUCCUGUCCAACGUUAAUCGGGGCAGGGUGAGUCGACCCCUAAGGCGAGGCCGAAAGGCGUAGUCGAUGGGAAACAGGUUAAUAUUCCUGUACUUGGUGUUACUGCGAAGGGGGGACGGAGAAGGCUAUGUUGGCCGGGCGACGGUUGUCCCGGUUUAAGCGUGUAGGCUGGUUUUCCAGGCAAAUCCGGAAAAUCAAGGCUGAGGCGUGAUGACGAGGCACUACGGUGCUGAAGCAACAAAUGCCCUGCUUCCAGGAAAAGCCUCUAAGCAUCAGGUAACAUCAAAUCGUACCCCAAACCGACACAGGUGGUCAGGUAGAGAAUACCAAGGCGCUUGAGAGAACUCGGGUGAAGGAACUAGGCAAAAUGGUGCCGUAACUUCGGGAGAAGGCACGCUGAUAUGUAGGUGAAGUCCCUCGCGGAUGGAGCUGAAAUCAGUCGAAGAUACCAGCUGGCUGCAACUGUUUAUUAAAAACACAGCACUGUGCAAACACGAAAGUGGACGUAUACGGUGUGACGCCUGCCCGGUGCCGGAAGGUUAAUUGAUGGGGUUAGCGCAAGCGAAGCUCUUGAUCGAAGCCCCGGUAAACGGCGGCCGUAACUAUAACGGUCCUAAGGUAGCGAAAUUCCUUGUCGGGUAAGUUCCGACCUGCACGAAUGGCGUAAUGAUGGCCAGGCUGUCUCCACCCGAGACUCAGUGAAAUUGAACUCGCUGUGAAGAUGCAGUGUACCCGCGGCAAGACGGAAAGACCCCGUGAACCUUUACUAUAGCUUGACACUGAACAUUGAGCCUUGAUGUGUAGGAUAGGUGGGAGGCUUUGAAGUGUGGACGCCAGUCUGCAUGGAGCCGACCUUGAAAUACCACCCUUUAAUGUUUGAUGUUCUAACGUUGACCCGUAAUCCGGGUUGCGGACAGUGUCUGGUGGGUAGUUUGACUGGGGCGGUCUCCUCCUAAAGAGUAACGGAGGAGCACGAAGGUUGGCUAAUCCUGGUCGGACAUCAGGAGGUUAGUGCAAUGGCAUAAGCCAGCUUGACUGCGAGCGUGACGGCGCGAGCAGGUGCGAAAGCAGGUCAUAGUGAUCCGGUGGUUCUGAAUGGAAGGGCCAUCGCUCAACGGAUAAAAGGUACUCCGGGGAUAACAGGCUGAUACCGCCCAAGAGUUCAUAUCGACGGCGGUGUUUGGCACCUCGAUGUCGGCUCAUCACAUCCUGGGGCUGAAGUAGGUCCCAAGGGUAUGGCUGUUCGCCAUUUAAAGUGGUACGCGAGCUGGGUUUAGAACGUCGUGAGACAGUUCGGUCCCUAUCUGCCGUGGGCGCUGGAGAAUUGAGGGGGGCUGCUCCUAGUACGAGAGGACCGGAGUGGACGCAUCACUGGUGUUCGGGUUGUCAUGCCAAUGGCACUGCCCGGUAGCUAAAUGCGGAAGAGAUAAGUGCUGAAAGCAUCUAAGCACGAAACUUGCCCCGAGAUGAGUUCUCCCUGACUCCUUGAGAGUCCUGAAGGAACGUUGAAGACGACGACGUUGAUAGGCCGGGUGUGUAAGCGCAGCGAUGCGUUGAGCUAACCGGUACUAAUGAACCGUGAGGCUUAACCUUACAACGCCGAAGCUGUU